AGUCGAACGAUGAAGCCCAGCUUGCUGGGUGGAUUAGUGGCGAACGGGUGAGUAACACGUGGGUGAUCUGCCCUGCACUUCGGGAUAAGCCUGGGAAACUGGGUCUAAUACCGGAUAGGACCUCGGGAUGCAUGUUCCGGGGUGGAAAGGUUUUCCGGUGCAGGAUGGGCCCGCGGCCUAUCAGCUUGUUGGUGGGGUAACGGCCCACCAAGGCGACGACGGGUAGCCGGCCUGAGAGGGCGACCGGCCACACUGGGACUGAGACACGGCCCAGACUCCUACGGGAGGCAGCAGUGGGGAAUAUUGCACAAUGGGCGCAAGCCUGAUGCAGCGACGCCGCGUGAGGGAUGACGGCCUUCGGGUUGUAAACCUCUUUCGGUACCGACGAAGCGCAAGUGACGGUAGGUACAGAAGAAUCACCGGCCAACUACGUGCCAGCAGCCGCGGUAAUACGUAGGGUGCGAGCGUUGUCCGGAAUUACUGGGCGUAAAGAGCUCGUAUGCGGUUUGUCGCGUCGUCUGUGAAAACCCGCAGCUCAACUGCGGGCUUGCAUGCGAUACGGGCAGACUUGAGUACUGCAGGGGAGACUGGAAUUCCUGGUGUAUCGGUGAAAUGCGCAGAUAUCAGGAGGAACACCGG
rnacentral:rRNA from 1 species